GGAAGAUCUCACCAUCCCCCACCAUGAUCAGAGUGGAGACCUCGGGGAUGAUAAUAUUGUUGUUAAAGACGAGUAUAAAGAGGAGGACGAGGAGUACGGGGUGAUGACGGAGCUUUCUGAAGGACACA